rnacentral:rRNA from 1 species
UGAGGAAUAUUGCACAAUGGGCGCAAGCCUGAUGCAGCGACGCCGCGUGUGGGAUGAAGGGGCUACGCCUCGUAAACCACUGUAGCCCGGGACGAAAAACGCCUUAGAGGCGUUAGACGGUACCGGGAAAGUAAGGGUCGGCUAACUACGUGCCAGCAGCCGCGGUAAUACGUAGGACCCAAGCGUUGUCCGGAUUUACUGGGUGUAAAGGGUGCGAAGGCGGAUGGGUAAGUCAGGGGUGAAAGUCUGCAGCUUAACUGUAGAAUGGCCUUUGAUACUGCUCAUCUUGAGUGUGGGAGAGGUUGAUGGAAUUCCAGGUGAAGCAGUGAAAUGCGUAGAUAUCUGGAAGAACAACAGUGGCGAAGGCGGUCAACUGGCCCAUAACUGACGCUCAUGCACGAAAGCGUGGGGAGCAAA